AUGAACGCUAGCUACAGGCUUAACACAUGCCAGUCGAGGGGAAACGACAUCGAAAGCUUGCUUUUGAUGGGCGUCGACCGGCGCACGGGUGAGUAACGCGUAUCCAACCUGCCCAUCACUUGGGAAUAACCUUGCGAAAGUAAGACUAAUACCCAAUGAUAUCCCACGAAGGCAUCGGAAUGGGAUUAAAGAUUUAUCGGUGAUGGAUGGGGAUGCGUCUGAUUAGCUUGUUGGCGGGGUAACGGCCCACCAAGGCAACGAUCAGUAGGGGGUCUGAGAGGAAGGUCCCCCACAUUGGAACUGAGACACGGUCCAAACUCCUACGGGAGGCAGCAGUGAGGAAUAUUGGUCAAUGGGCGAGAGCCUGAACCAGCCAAGUAGCGUGCAGGAAGACGGCCCUAUGGGUUGUAAACUGCUUUUAGAAGGGAAUAAAGUGGGUCACGUGUGACUUUUUGCAUGUACCUUAUGAAUAAGGACCGGCUAAUUCCGUG
rnacentral:rRNA from 1 species